GCGGCAGGCUUAACACAUGCAAGUCGAGGGGUAACAGGGAUUGCUUGCAAUCCGCUGACGACCGGCGCACGGGUGCGUAACGCGUAUGCAACCUACCUUCUACAGGGGGAUAGUCAAUAGAAAUGUUGAAUAAUACCCCAUACGAUCAUUUAUCUGCAUAGAUUAAUGAAGAAAGCUCCGGCGGUAGAAGAUGGGCAUGCGUCCUAUUAGUUAGUUGGUAAGGUAACGGCUUACCAAGACAUCGAUAGGUAGGGGUCCUGAGAGGGAGAUCCCCCACACUGGUACUGAGACACGGACCAGACUCCUACGGGAGGCAGCAGUGAGGAAUAUUGGACAAUGGAGGCAACUCUGAUCCAGCCAUGCCGCGUGCAGGAAGACGGCCCUAUGGGUUGUAAACUGCUUUUAUACAGGAAGGAUUGUACCUACGUGUAGGUAUUUGACGGUACUGUACGAAUAAGGAUCGGCUAACUCCGUGCCAGCAGCCGCGGUAAUACGGAGGAUCCAAGCGUUAUCCGGAAUCAUUGGGUUUAAAGGGUCCGUAGGCGGUCUUUUAAGUCAGAGGUGAAAUCCUGCAGCUCAACUGUAGCAUUGCCUUUGAUACUGAGAGACUUGAGUUAUUGUGAA
rnacentral:rRNA from 1 species